CAUCCAGACUCCUACGGGAGGCAGCAGUGGGGAAUAUUGGACAAUGGGGGGAACCCUGAUCCAGCGACGCCGCGUGAGUGAAGAAGUAUUUCGGUAUGUAAAGCUCUAUCAGCAGGGAAGAAAGAAAUGACGGUACCUGACUAAGAAGCCCCGGCUAACUACGUGCCAGCAGCCGCGGUAAUACGUAGGGGGCAAGCGUUAUCCGGAUUUACUGGGUGUAAAGGGAGCGUAGACGGUGAGACAAGUCUGAAGUGAAAGCCCGGGGCUCAACCCCGGGACUGCUUUGGAAACUGCCUGACUGGAGUGCUGGAGAGGCAAGCGGAAUUCCUAGUGUAGCGGUGAAAUGCGUAGAUAUCAGGAGGAACACCGGCGGCGAAGGCGGCCUGCUGGACCGCGACUGACGUUGAGGCUCGAAAGCGUGGGGAGCAAACAGGAUUAGAUACCCUGGUA
rnacentral:rRNA from 1 species